rnacentral:sRNA from 1 species
GAUCAUUGUGAAGAUGAAGCUAGCUGGUUAUAAAGAAUGCAUUCAUGUCCCCAGUCCAUUUCGUGACUUGUUUGAUUGUGAAGUGAUCAGAAAUUCACAUUUAUAAUUAGAAGA